rnacentral:rRNA from 1 species
CUACGGGAUGCUGCAGUGAGGAAUAUUGCACAAUGGGGGGAACCCUGAUGCAGCAACGCCGCGUGGAGGAUGACGCAUUUCGGUGUGUAAACUCCUUUUAUAUGUCAAGAAAAUGACGGUAGCAUAUGAAUAAGCGCCGGCUAACUCCGUGCCAGCAGCCGCGGUAAUACGGAGGGUGCAAGCGUUACUCGGAAUCACUGGGCGUAAAGGACGCGUAGGCGGGUUGGAAAGUCAGGUGUGAAAUCCUACAGCUUAACUGUAGAACUGCACUUGAAACUUCUAAUCUAGAGUAUGGGAGGGGGAGAUGGAAUUAGUGGUGUAGGGGUAAGAUCCGUAGAUAUCACUAGGAAUACCUAAAGCGAAGGCGAUCUCCUGGAACAUUACUGACGCUAAGGCGUGAAAGCGUGGGGAGCAAACAGGAUUAGAUACCCUCGUAGUC